rnacentral:rRNA from 1 species
CCUACGUGAGGCUGCAGUAGGGAAUCUUCGGCAAUGGACGGAAGUCUGACCGAGCAACGCCGCGUGAGUGAAGAAGGUUUUCGGAUCGUAAAGCUCUGUUGUAAGAGAAGCACGAGUGUGAGAGUGGAAAGUUCACACUGUGACGGUAUCUUACCAGAAAGGGACGGCUAACUACGUGCCCGCAGCCGCGGUCAUACGUAGGUCCCGAGCGUUGUCCGGAUUUAUUGGGCGUAAAGCGAGCGCAGGCGGUUAGAUAAGUCUGAAGUUAAAGGCUGUGGCUUAACCAUAGUACGCUUUGGAAACUGUUUAACUUGAGUGCAAGAGGGGAGAGUGGAAUUCCAUGUGUAGCGGUGAAAUGCGUAGACAUAUGGAGGAACACCGGUGGCGAAAGCGGCUCUCUGGCUUGUAACUGACGCUGAGGCUCGAAAGCGUGGGGAGCAAACAGGAUUAGAUACCCGUGUAGUC